rnacentral:rRNA from 1 species
GGCCCCGCACAAGCGGUGGAGCAUGUGGUUUAAUUCGAUGCAACGCGAAGAACCUUACCAGGGCUUGACAUACUGCGAAUCUUUUUGAAAGAAGAGAGUGCCUUCGGGAAUGCAGAUACAGGUGGUGCAUGGCUGUCGUCAGCUCGUGUCGUGAGAUGUUGGGUUAAGUCCCGCAACGAGCGCAACCCUUGUUUUUAGUUACCAAUUCGUUGGGUUUUCUAGAAAGACUGCCGGUGACAAACCGGAGGAAGGUGAGGAUGACGUCAAGUCAGCAUGCCCCUUAUGUCCUGGGCUACACACGUGCUACAAUGGUUAGGACAAAGAGUCGCGAGCUCGCAAGAGUCAGCUAAUCUCGUAAACCUAGCCUAAGUUCAGAUUGUAGGCUGCAACUCGCCUACAUGAAGUUGGAAUCGCUAG